UGCGCCUUGCCAGCCCGCUCAGAAACUCAAAGGAAUUGACGGGGGCCCGCACAAGCGGAGGAACAUGUGGUUUAAUUCGAUGAUACGCGAGGAACCUUACCUGGGCUAGAACGCAUUCGGAAUCAGGCCGAAAGGCCUGCGCCAGCGAUGGCCGCUUGCGAGGUGCUGCAUGGUUGUCGUCAGCUCGUGCCGUGAGGUGUCGGGUUAAGUCCCAUAACGAGCGCAACCCCUACUGCUAGUUGCCAGCGGGUCAUGCCGGGGACUCUAGCGGAACUGCCAGCGUAAGCUGCGAGGAAGGUGGGGAUGACGUCAAAUCAGCACGGCCCUUACGUCCAGGGCUACACACGUGUUACAAUGGCCGGUACAGAGGGCAGCCACCCCGCGAGGGGGCGCGAAUCCCGAAAGCCGGUCCCAGUUCGGAUCGGAGUCUGCAACCCGACUCCGUGAAGCUGGAUUCGCUAGUAAUCGCGCAUCAGCCACGGCGCGGUGAAUACGUUCCCGGGCCUU
rnacentral:rRNA from 1 species